GAGCGCUGGGCGGGGUCCCCUCUUAAGGAGAUGCGAAAGGGCGCCGGCCUGAGCCCCGCCUGCGUGCACGCCUUCUCCCCUGCGAGGCCCGUAGCACCAGUUUCUGGUGCAUCCCUUACCACAGACAUCACACCACAAGACCGAGGGGGGCAUCCUGAGUCACCGAAGGAGCUCCUCACAUCCUUUAUCGAAGCAUCUUUGUGGAGCAAUGAGUAAAAGGAUGUUCACACAUCAGUACCAGCACAACAGAAAUCCCCAGAGGUCCACGUUGCUGAGGAGCCCAGGCACUAGAUCCCCAGGCGAGCCAGGCAGCUGUGACCCAGGGCCAGGAUGGCCUCAGCCUCAGCGUUUGUCUUCUGAAUGAAAUAUUCUUCCCAUUUCCUUUUCUAAGUGCCUUUGCCUGAAUAGAGAGAGAUUGCUGAUUUCUGUAAUUUAUUUUGUAUUCAUCUAACACACUAAAUUCUCUUAUUACUUGUUUUUUCAUAAAAGUCUCUUAGAUUUUCUAAGAAAACAGACAUAUCAUUAGCAUUAGGAACUUUCUCUCUUUUUCCUUUAUUUAUACCAGUUAUUUUAUUUACAUUUGCUAGACUCACCAGUAAAAGGGAUUAUAGUAAUGCUUGUCUCAUUCCUGAUUUUUAUUGUUUAUUUUUUCAUGAGGAAGACUGGCCCUGAGCUAACAUCUGUGCCAAUCUUCCUCUGUUUUGUGUGUGGGAUGCUGCCACGGCACGGCUUGAGGGGUGGUGUGUAGGUCUGCACCCGGGAUCCAAACCUGAGAAUCCCUGGCCACUGAAGUGGAGUAUGUGAACUUAACCACUACACCACUGGGCCAGCCCUGAUUCCUGAUUUUUAAAUGAAAGGUUUUAUUUUGGCCAUUUAAGAUAAUGUUUGUUAGUGGCUUUUCUUAAUUAUUUAAGUGAUUUUCUUCUGCUUCUAUUUUGCUUUGAGUUUCCCUUGGCAUUGGUUGCUUGCCUUUUCACUACCUAUUGAUAAAGGUUAGGGGUUUUUUUCCCUUUAAUUUUUAGUGUAAUCCAUAUGUGGAUAGACUGCAUGGAAUUCAAGUGCCCUUUUCUUCCUGUAAUAAAACCUGUUUUGUCAUGGUGUAUUACUCUUUCGAUUCAUUCCUCUGCUCUGUACUCUCAUAUAUUGUUUAAACAGUUGGCAUCUAUAGUCAUCAAUGAAAUUGGCCUGUGAUUGGAAUUGUUGCUGUAGUUGUUGAAUUCCUUCUUAGGCUUUGGUAUUCGAGUUAUUCUGGCUUCAUAAAAUUAACUGGAGAACUUUCAGUCAUUUUCUAAGACCCACAAUAGUUGAAGUAAUAAUGGAAUUAUCCAUUCUUUAAUGGUUAGAUUAAAAAUUCAGCUGUGAAUUCAUCUGCCUGCCGCCUUCUUCAAUAGGAGAUCAUUAAUCACUUCUCCAAUCUGUUCCAUAGUAAUUGGUCUAUUCAAGUUUUCACUUCUUCUGUGUCAUUUGUGAUUACGUAUGUUUUCCUAGGGAAGUAUUUAUUUCUUCUAGGUUUUACUUCUUUUAAUGUACUGCUACAGAGCGACCAUUAGUAUUUACUUAGAAUUCUUUUCAUCUCUUUCCUAUUUUCACAUUGUUAAUCUUGUCUAAUUUUGAUUUCCUUCUCUUUUUCUUAUCUGGCUCACUUGGUGUUUAUUUUACUGGUCUUUGUAAAGAAUCAAUCUUUGAAUGUAUUAUUCUUUUCUGUUAAUUUAUCAAUAUUAAUAAUUUCAGCUUUUAUCCUUAUUAAUUCCCUCUUCAAAGUUUCUUUUGUUUUGUUUUUCUUGUUGUUUUUCCUUGAAUUCAUAAAGAUAAGUACGUAAUUCCCCAAUUUUCCCCCUUCUCCUUCUAUGAUUAAAGGCAACCGUUUUCCUCUGAGCUCAGUUUUACGGUUCCCCAUCGUUUUAAUAUAAAGUGUCUUUUUUUCCCAAAGCUUCUGGGAAUUUCAAUAUUUCUCCUUGCUGUCGUCUGAAUGUGUGCAUUCCCCUCAAAUUCAUGUGUUGAAAUCCUAAGCCCCCAAAAUGAUGGAAUUAGGAGGUGGGGCCUUUGGGAGGUGCUUAAGUUUUGAGGGUGGAGCACUCAUGAAUGGGAUUAGUGCCUUUGUAAAAAAGAAAAAACUCCAGAAAGAUCCCUAGCCUCUUCCACCAUUUGAGGACAUGGUGAAAACGCACCAGCUAUGAACCAGGAAGAAGACUCUUUCCAGGAGGCCACCAUACUGGCACCUUGAUCUUGGACUUCCAGCCUCCAAAACGCUGGGUCCACUUUGAGGACAGUAACUUAUCAAAGGUAUCAGCAAAACCGGCAAACUGGGGAGAAACAGCACCAAAGACAGCAACAGACUCUGAUAUUUUGGGAGCUCAAGCAGAGGGGAAGGAAAAUGGCAAAUGCUCUAUGACAUCCUAAGUUCUCAAGCAACUCUCCACCAGCCCCAUUUCUCUCCCUGAAAGAACUGAGGAACACACUGAGUGGAACUCAAGUUACCUCAUGAGAGAGCUGAGAUCACAAGGCAGCUGAGUAACCUGAAUUCCAAUGGGAAACAAGCUCCUUAAAGGAGAGGUGGAGAACAUGAACCUUUUGACCUGUGCGAGAUUAGUGGAAAAACUGGUGGCCACCAUACAAACAGGCUUCCAGAGGAUCCUCACAAAAAGACUGGAGACAGGGCAAGAGAUGUGAGAGAGCCACCUCACUAAUGCAGAAACCACAAUAAAGGUUCUUGCCCACAUUUUCCCCUCUUCCUUGGCCUCCUGACGUACCGUGUGUUCCCUUUGUGGCCCUGCGGAGUGUGCUGUGUCUUCUCUCUCUAGGGAUCUACUUUAGCAAGCUGAUUAUAAAUUGGAUGGAAAAGUAAAAGAUCAAGAAGCAAAUAGGAGAACACCUGCUGCCAAUAAUCGAGAAUUUCAAUAAAGUUAUAAGAAUUCAAGUGCAGACGUAUGGGACCAAAUGGAAAACUCAGAAACAG
ensembl:lncRNA